UACGGAGGAUCCAAGCGUUAUCCGGAUUUAUUGGGUUUAAAGGGUGCGCAGGCGGGAUAAUAAGUCAGUGGUGAAAGCCUUCAGCUUAACUGAGGAACUGCCAUUGAUACUGUUAUUCUUGAGAGUAAUUGAUGUAGGCGGAAUGUGUCAUGUAGCGGUGAAAUGCUUAGAUAUGACACAGAACACCGAUUGCGAAGGCAGCUUACAAAAUUAUUUCUGACGCUCAUGCACGAAAGCGUGGGGAUCAAACAGGAUUAGAUACCCUGGUAGUCCACGCCGUAAACGAUGAUUACUCGCUGUUGGCGAUACACAGUCAGUGGCCAAGCGAAAGCAUUAAGUAAUCCACCUGGGGAGUACGGUCGCAAGACUGAA
rnacentral:rRNA from 1 species